AGUUAUUUUCGGAGAUUUCUGGAGACUUGGCAGUAAAGUUGGCGCCUGUUGAAAACACUUUAUUCCAGCUACUUUGUGGGUUUCAGAGGAUAAGAAGAGGCUACAGCAGAAUACUCAAGAGACAGGAUUCCAAGUGCAGAAAGCCGUGAGUACUGAUCAAGAGAACAUAUCUUUCUGUGUGGAACUCAGGUAAA